rnacentral:rRNA from 1 species
GACGAACGCUGGCGGCGUGCUUAACACAUGCAAGUCGAACGAUGACGACCGAGCUUGCUCGGUCUGAUUAGUGGCGAACGGGUGAGUAACACGUGAGCAACCUGCCCUUCACUCUGGGAUAACCUCGGGAAAUCGGGGCUAAUACCGGAUAUGAGCUCCUGUCGCAUGGCGGGUGUUGGAAAGUUUUUCGGUGAAGGAUGGGCUCGCGGCCUAUCAGUUUGUUGGUGAGGUAGUGGCUCACCAAGGCGAUGACGGGUAGCCGGCCUGAGAGGGCGACCGGCCACACUGGGACUGAGACACGGCCCAGACUCCUACGGGAGGCAGCAGCGGGGAAUAUUGCACAAUGGGCGAAAGCCUGAUGCAGCGACGCCGCGUGAGGGAUGACGGCCUUCGGGUUGUAAACCUCUUUCAGCAGGGAAGAAGCGAAAGUGACGGUACCUGCAGAAGAAGCGCCGGCUAACUACGUG